UGUGGUGCUAUGAUUAUAGAAAAUUCCUCGUUCUGAAUGCUAUGGCUAUUUGGCAUGACAGACUCUUAUACACCAAUAGAAUAUGAGCACCU